rnacentral:rRNA from 1 species
CGUGUAGGCGGUCAGGUAAGUGAAAUGUGAAAUGCCCCGGCUCACCCGGGGACCGGCAUCCCAAACUGCCUGGCUUGAGUAUGGGAGAGGAUGGAGGAAUUCCUGGUGUAGCGGUGAAAUGCGUAGAUAUCAGGAGGAACACCGGUGGCGAAGGCGUCCAUCUGGCCCAAUACUGACGCUGAGGCGCGAAAGCUAGGGGAGCAAACG